rnacentral:tRNA from 1 species
GCCGGGAUGGUGGAAUUGGUAGACACACGGGACUUAAAAUCCCGAGGACUUAACUGUCCGUGCGGGUUCGACUCCCGCUCCCGGUACCA